GCGGGCCGGGGGACGCAGCGGAUCUGGCGGAGGCCCAGGUGGGCCGGGCCGGGCCGGGCCGAACGGGGGAGGCACCGAGUCACCAGCGGCCCCGACGAGAUUUCACGUUGAGAGAUCAUUGUUGUAGAAUGUUUCAUCGUGCUGAAAUGAGCUGAGACGCAUUUCAUCAGGACCUCUAGAAGCAAUCCAUGCAAAUCUGUCUAACAGCAUGUAUCCGUUAUAAAAAUUCAGAUCUAUCCACAUGUAACAGCAUGGAAAAAGUGUUCAUGAUGGCAGAACAACCAUAAGCAGGAGAAAAGUCAUAGUCUGGUCUAAAGAAGUUUCCUGAGCAGCAUCCUCACCUAGCUCUGUUUCCAACUCAAUCCUGGGGCCGUCCUACUCUGUGCAUGUAAAAAUGACCUUCUACUCAUUAAACCUUGGCUUUGUGGGCAGUAGCAUCCUUGCAGCAAGGAAGACUGGUGGUAUCCAAGCAGCAGAUUGAGGGCAGGAUUUAUCAGACACUGCCUGGCACUCCUUAGACCUUAUCAGACAUCCUGUUUUUGAUUGUGGCACCUUUAUACAAGAUGCUGACAAACUGGACAAAGUUCAGAUGGAGGCACUGAGAUGGUUGGUGACCAUCUGCAAGCAGCAGUUGCAGCACUGAGGCUUUUUGAGCCUGGAGCAGAUCGCUUCAAGGGCAGUUAAUUCCUUCCUCCAGUAACCCAUAGGAAAGGGGUGGAAAAGAUGGAACAGGGCUUACCACAGCAGACCAUAGCAGGAGACCAAGAGACAAAAGACAUCAACUGAAACAGGACAUUCCUGAUGGAUGUUAGGAACAACUUUUUCCCCUUGAAGAUAAGUCAGGAGUCAGAGCAGGUUGCAGGGAGAGGUUGUGCAGUCCACCCUUGGAGAUUCUUAAGACGAUCUCGUGUGAUAUCACGUCUGACCCUCCUUUAAGCAAGAGAUUGGACCAGAACCUCCCUAC